AACCAGAGGAGGAAAAGAAGCAACUUACAACACCUCAUUUAAAACCCAUUAGUGCUUCUAGUAUAUUGUCACUUGAUACAAAAUUUGCUAUUUUUAAGGCACAACUAAAGAAAGAAAAAGAGGUCAAUGAGCAAUUAGAUGACAAAUUUAAAAAGAUGAAAAAUAAGUACCGGUAUGUGGUAUCAACUAAUACUAGUUCAGCAUUGAACAAGACUUUAGGAGCAAUGAGGAUGGAGAUAGAAGACUUGAUAUUGUAUUUAACGUCAAAUAAAACUGAUUCACAGGAUCAGAAUGCAGCAUUGGCAGAGAAUAAAAAAGAGAUAGAGCAUUUACAAGAACAGAUUUCAUUAAUGAAAAGGAAAAU